GUCGUGGUGGUCGUCGUCGUGCUCGUCGUCGUCGUGGUGCUCGUCGUCGUGGUGGUCGUCGUCGUGGUGCUCGUCGUCGUGGUGCUCGUCGUCGUGGUGCUCGUCGUCGUGGUGCUCGUCGUCGUGGUGCUCGUCGUCGUGGUGCUCGUCGUCGUGGUGCUCGUCGUCGUGGUGCUCGUCGUCGUGGUGCUCGUCGUCGUCGUGCUCGUCGUCGUGGUGCUCGUCGUCGUGGUGCUCGUCGUCGUGGUGCUCGUCGUCGUGGUGCUCGUCGUCGUGGUGCUCGUCGUCGUCGGGCUUGUCGUCGUCGGGCUUGAGCUCGGGCUUGUCGUCGGCGGGCUUGAGCUCGGGCUUGUCGUCGUCGUGGCCGCCGCCGCCGCAGAGCUCUUCAAAUCCGGGGGCGAUGCGUCCGUCCGGACCGUGCUUCCAGAAGCACGGAUCCUCGUCGAUCAUGGAGCCCAUAGGGUGAUCCAUCAUGGAGCCCAUAGGGUGAUCCAUCAUGGAGCCCAUAGGGUGAUCCAUCAUGGAGCCCAUAGGGUGAUCCAUCAUGGAGCCCAUAGGCAUAUCCAUCAUGGAGCCAAUAGGGUGAUCCAUCAUGGAGCCCAUAGGCAUAUCCAUCAUGGAGCCAAUAGGGUGAUCCAUCAUGGAGCCAAUAGGGUGAUCCAUCAUGGAGCCAAUAGGGUGAUCCAUCAUGGAGCCCAUCAAGUCGUGGUGCUCCUCGCCGGGCGCCGUCGCGUUCACCGUGGAGACGGCCGCGGGAACCUCGGGGGCGGGAACCUCGGGGGGCGCUGUACCAUUAGGGGCCGCAGGACCCGCGGGGCCCGCGGGACCCCCGCUGAACUCGCCCUCGAACGACGACGCGUCGUUCACCUUUUCGGCUUCGUCCGCCGUCGGGCAAUCCUCCCCGCCGACUUUGCUCCAGCACUUGCCCUCGUCCCACUCGCAACCCAGCACGGCGGCGCAGCUCGCCUCCGUGUUGAGCUC
rnacentral:lncRNA from 1 species